GACGAACGCUGGCGGCGUGCUUAACACAUGCAAGUCGAACGGAAAGGCCUCUUUCGGGGGGUACUCGAGUGGCGAACGGGUGAGUAACACGUGAGUAACCUGCCCUUGACUUUGGGAUAACUUCAGGAAACUGGGGCUAAUACCGGAUAGGAGCUCCUGCUGCAUGGUGGGGGUUGGAAAGUUUCGGCGGUUGGGGAUGGACUCGCGGCUUAUCAGCUUGUUGGUGGGGCAGUGGCUUACCAAGGCUUUGACGGGUAGCCGGCCUGAGAGGGUGACCGGCCACAUUGGGACUGAGAUACGGCCCAGGCUCCUACGGGAGGCAGCAGUGGGGAAUAUUGCACAAUGGGUGGAAGCCUGAUGCAGCAACGCCGUGUGCGGGAUGACGGCCUUCGGGUUGUAAACCGCUUUCGCUCAUGACGAAGCUUUGUGUGACGGUAGUGGGUAAAGAAGCACCGGCUAACUACGUG
rnacentral:rRNA from 1 species